AACUCACUGGCGCAAUGGAUAGCGCACCGGACUUCUAUGUCUGUGCUGGCCAUCCGGGGGUUGUGGGUUCAAGUCCCACGUGAGUUG
rnacentral:tRNA from 1 species